CAAGGGAAUGUGGGAAAUGAGUUCAUUUCAUACUGCCUGUGGAGCCUCAGCAGGAAAGGACAGACUUAGUCUGACUGGGCCUUGAUGUCACAAGUCUGGAAUACAAGAGGGAAAAGGAGAUGGCAUAUUACCCAGCAUUCCAAAGUAUAUGAUUGAAGGUGGAUUAAACAUGGCAUCAAGAAGGCAGUUCCUGACAGC